rnacentral:rRNA from 1 species
AUCCCUUGACAUCCUGCGAACUUUCUAGAGAUAGAUUGGUGCCUUCGGGAACGCAGUGACAGGUGCUGCAUGGCUGUCGUCAGCUCGUGUCGUGAGAUGUUGGGUUAAGUCCCGCAACGAGCGCAACCCUUAUCAUUAGUUGCUAACAUUUAGUUGAGAACUCUAAUGAGACUGCCGGUGAUAAACCGGAGGAAGGCGGGGACGACGUCAAGUCAUCAUGGCCCUUAUGGGAUGGGCUACACACGUGCUACAAUGGGGGAUACAAAGAGCAGCCAACUGGCGACAGUGCGCGAAUCUCAUAAAACCUCUCGUAGUCCGGAUCGGAGUCUGCAACUCGACUCCAUGAAGUCGGAAUCGCUAGUAAUCGUGAAUCAGAAUGUCACGGUGAAUACGUUCCCGGGCCU